CAAAAUUUUCGGAAGGCAUGCUCUGUGGCUUUGCUAAGAGAUUC
rnacentral:misc_RNA from 1 species